rnacentral:tRNA from 1 species
UGGCUCAGUGGCAGAGCACUUGCCUUGCAUGCAUGAAGCCCUGGGUUCAAUUCCUCAG